UACGAAGGGGGCUAGCGUUGCUCGGAAUCACUGGGCGUAAAGGGUGCGUAGGCGGGUCUUUUAAGUCAGGGGUGAAAUCCUGGAGCUCAACUCCAGAACUGCCUUUGAUACUGAAGAUCUUGAGUUCGGGAGAGGUGAGUGGAACUGCGAGUGUAGAGGUGAAAUUCGUAGAUAUUCGCAAGAACACCGGUGGCGAAGGCGGCUCUCUGGACCGAGACUGACGCUGAGGCGCGAAAGCGUGGGGAGCAAACAGG
rnacentral:rRNA from 1 species